GAUGAACGCUGGCGGCGUGCCUAAUACAUGCGAGUCGAGCGAACAGACGAGGAGCUUGCUCCUCUGACGUUAGCGGCGGACGGGUGAGUAACACGUGGAUAACCUACCUAUAAGACUGGGAUAACUUCGGGAAACCGGAGCUAAUACCGGAUAACAUGUUGAACCGCAUGGUUCAACAGUGAAAGACGGUUUUGCUGUCACUUAUAGAUGGAUCCGCGUCGCAUUAGCUAGUUGGUAAGGUAACGGCUUACCAAGGCAACGAUGCGUAGCCGACCUGAGAGGGUGAUCGGCCACACUGGAACUGAGACACGGUCCAGACUCCUACGGGAGGCAGCAGUAGGGAAUCUUCCGCAAUGGGCGAAAGCCUGACGGAGCAACGCCGCGUGAGUGAAGAAGGUCUUCGGAUCGUAAAACUCUGUUGUUAGGGAAGAACAAAUGUGUAAGUAACUAUGCACGUCUUGACGGUACCUAAUCAGAAAGCCACGGCUAACUACGUG
rnacentral:rRNA from 1 species